AAAAAAAAAAAGAAUAUUAUACAUUUGUAUUAUAGUUCCACUCCAAAUACGAUAGCUAAAAGACAAAUCAACCUUCUCUUUACAGAACACAGGCUCCAAACAUAAAUUUUUGUCUUAUAUGUUUUAGGUUUAUGUAUAUAUAAAACCAUUCACCAAAGACAUGCUUAAUUUUUGAGAUUAAGGUGUAAAUUAUGAUGCCUUAUUUUGGUCUAGAGUGUAUGUAAGGUUAGUAUGUUAAGCAUUGUUCAAAAAUACUAGUAAGUCAAAAUUAUACAGCAUUUUCACAAAGUUCAAUGCACAGAAAAAGCCUAUGAUUUUGGUUACUGAUCUAUCUUAACGCUACUUUCUUUUAAAACAGACAGUUAACAUAAUACCCAAGUUACAGUAACAUUAUGGGCUUCUCCUCCCAUUGGCAAUUAAAUGCUUUUCUUCUGAAAAGAUGAUAUGGACCAACAGGUCCAUAUCAAAAAAAGAAUCAGACUUGCCAGCAACGUUGGUAGACUCUUCCCAGCAUACAUCUGAGUGCUGAAGGAAGAAGAAAGUUUAAAUUGUUUAAAGGACUAUAAUUAUCACACAAAAUUUAUUAAGAAAAAAGAAUAAUGGAUCUAGUAUAACUAAUUCUGAGUAAACCAAAAUGAUAAGAACUAAUUAAACACUUCUUAAUCCCACAUUUUUGGCAGGUGUAAUUGAGCCAUGGUCCUAUUUGAUUUUGUUAUGAUUGCAUCCAAAUUUGCUUAAACUCAGAGUUAUGUUUAAUGGUAGGAUGUAAGAACUGAAUUUUGAAAAACUACUCACUGUCAAAAUCUCUCCUUCCUAUAGGAAAUUUAGCUGAGUUUUCUUCAUCCCCAGUUUCUCUCUUUUCUAGUGUUGAUUCGGUAUCCUGAACCCCAUUCUCAGCUGGAAAAGCUACAGAUCCUUCUAGUGCAAGAUAAGGUUUUAUAACCAGAUUCAGUGACAGACCAUGAUUUAAGAAAUUAUGUUUUUUCUUUGUUUUUUGUGACAGCAUAAUCCCAUUGUUCUACUACCCUAGCAGUUCCUCCCUAGACAAUGAGGCCAAUACCCCUUCCUCUACUUCAUAUAGGCUUUCUUUUUUUACUCUAUACUGUAAUCCUGAAUGCUUUCAUGCAUCUCAUGGCUUUCAUUAUCAUUUCUACUUUGAUAAGUCCCAAAAUGAUAUCUUCUGUUUAUAUUCAACUUUAGAAUGCCAGACCUGUCAUCUCUAGCUGCCUAUCUCAGAGGCACCUUAAAUUCAACCUGUUCAAAGAUCAUCUUGUGCCUUAACCCAGAUUCACUGCUUCUCCAAUGUUCCCUGUUCCAGUUUAUAGCAACACCAUCCUCAGUUUCUCAUUCCAAAAGCCCAGGAGUAAUGUGUAAGUAAUAGAUUCUGGAACCAAACCACCCUAUGGCCGUACAACUUUGGGCAAGUUAUUUAUUAACCCUUUGAUUUACUUUCCUCAUCGAUGAUGUUUGAGUAAUAAUAGCACCUACUUCUUAUGGUUAUUGUGCAAAUUAAAUCUACUAAUACAUGUGAGAAACUUAAUGAUUAGUACCUAGCAAGUGCAUUAUGAGUGUUAACUAUUGCUUUUCCUCUUAUAUUUUUUAACUUUUAUCUUCUUUGCCUCAGACCCACAAUCAGUGAAUCGAUAAAUUCUCCUAUUUUUAACUCCAAAAUAUUUUUCAAUUCUAUUCUGUUUGUUUUCACCAUCUUGGCCAAGUCCACCAUCAUGUUCUAAUUGCAGAUCUACUCAUAUUGCUGCCUUGCUUAUGGCUUCACAGUAUUCUCAUGGAAAAAAACCCAAAAGAUUCGGUAAUAUAAAAUCCUUGCUGGCCAGCCUGGCUUUAGAAUACUUCUUCUUUCAGAAUGUGUGUCCACCACCUCCUCCUCUCUAAGGCUUCUACUCCACACACCUUCCAGUCUCACUAAAGAACUAAGGAUGCUCUUCUCUCCUAAUGAAGUUGUGUUUACUUCUCAGGUCUCAACUUACAUACAAAUUUUUCCAGAGAAUUUCCUGAAACACUCACCUCUCUCACUAGACUAACUUGCUCCAACUACUCACAUAGAUAGUAUAACACUUAUCAUUCUAAUUAAGUAAUAAUGUGUGGCUUUUUUAUUCACAUCUGUCUCAAAGGUAGGGACAGUGAGAGAGAAUCAUGCCAUUCAAAUAGAAGUUUUAUUCUCAGCAUCCAGCACAUCAAUUCACCAUAGUAGAAGCUCAGUGAGUAUCUGUCCAAUUAAUGAAUAAAUGUUGAGCACUGUAAGCUACGCUUAUGGAUACCAUAGUUUAGUAAGGAAGCAGAGAGUUGGCAAAAAUAAAUUUGAGAAGUAUGAUAAUGGAUACAUUAAAAAGUGCCUUGUUGUCCACUGGGAGGAAAGGUUUUAAUUUAAUCUGAGUUGAUAAAGAAGGCCUACAUAAGGAAGCUUUGUGAUUUCAGGCUGAGGAUAACAGUGAACAGGAGUUGGCUCUGUGAAGGACCUGAAAUGUGAGGAGGACAGACUGAGAGAAGAUCACCUGCAAACUCUCUGAAGCAGAUGGUGUAGUCUGUGUAGCACUAGAAUGCAGAUGUCCACUUCACAUGAUGGUAAGGAAGGAUACGUCUAUUGAGAAAUUGCACGCCAAGUAAAAUCCUGAGAUAAACAACUUCAUACAAGAGAAACUGACAGUUUACCAUACAUUUUUGGAAUUUAAAGAGUUGUUGUGGUGUGCUUUCUUUUUGUGCAAAUUAUGGAAUAGAUGAAAGUGACAGAGUGAUGACACCACCUAAAUGGAAGCAUAAUGUAGAUGGUUAUUGCAGAUGCCUUACCACACAGCUCUGCCAGCGCACAUGCUUCCUGCAAACCUCCUGCAAUUUAAACCCUUGGGCUCCUUCAACUAAUGACGCUAAUUUGCCAAUGGAGCAAUGGCUUUCUUCGCUAAACACUCACCUACAAAGGAGUAUGUAUUAGCCGACAAUGUAUGUGCUCAGUAAAAACUGGCAAUAUAACAUGCACAUUUUAAAUAUAAAGACCACUUUCAUCACUACAUUAAAUCAUAGGGAUUGAUUUAAUAAAUCACAGUGUAAAUAACUCUCCAGAAUUAUUACUAUUAUUUUUAAUAAAGGUAAUAUUUGGGGGAAAAUUAUAUGGUACUAAAUUUUUCCAAAAAAUCAAAUUAUUGGGAGAAAAGUUAUAAGAGUACCUGGUUCCCUGUUUUGUCUUAAAGGAUUUCGGUUCAUAAUUGAAUUUAUAUUAAGCAUGAACAGCAGUUUGCAAUUGACAUUGUUUCAUUCAAAGCUAGUAUCUUCAUGUACAUUCAUGAGUCCAACAUAUAUAUAUAUAUCUACGUAUAUAUGUACACAUAUAUAUUCAAUUAUAUAUAUAAUUAUACAUAUAUAAUUGAAACUCAAUAAGAUAAAAUGUGUCAUGUCCAAAAUUAGAGGGAAAUUUGACAGCAAAACAAAAGAUUAACUAAAAUCUUUGUCUCUAUGAUGUUAAAAUUAAGAUCCUGCAGAUAUGACUCAAGACCUAUUUGAUCUUAUUUGUAUUCAAACAUGCAUCUGAUGUGUUAAAAUUAACAUAAUUUAAAAAAUGCUUCCAUCAAAUUCAAGAAGAAUUCAUUUAAAUAACCUUCUGAUAAAUAUAAAAGGAAGACAUUCAUUUUGUUUUUUUCCCCAACUUUAUAAAAUAUCAAUUAUUAUGGCCACUUUGGGAGCAAAUUUUAAGAAAGAAAAGCAACUAAAAAUGUCACCGACAUUGAAAAAGACAUUUAAGUGAUACCUACUUGUGUGUUCUGAAUUGGUUUUAAAUAUAGUUUUAAUCUUUCUAUAUUUUGUAUUAUAAAAUAAAUAUAAUUCUUUCAUAUUUCUAACACUUUCACAUUGCAAAUGAGGUACAUAGGCCACUUUAUUGAUGAACAACUUUCAGAACCUAAAUCUUUAAAAUUGCUGAGCCAAGCUGCAACACUAAAAUACAUUAUCUAAAUUGUGCAUGAAAACAAUAAAAGACCAUGAGUACUAUUUUUUAGUACUACAAGUCAGGGAAGAUUAACUUGAAUUUAAAUAACAAAUAAAAGUUACCACAAAGGGAGCAAGCUUUUAAACUGUGAAAUAGCUCUAGCUCUACAGUAGAAAUCUUAUGGUUUUCAUAUGAUAAUUUUUUUCAACAUAUCUUUUUCUAUUUUUUAAUUCAAAAUGUAAAAGUAAAUUAUACCUCCAAGACCAUGUUUUUCUCAUUCUUUGUUUCAACAAAUUGCUGAUAUCUUUCAAAACUGUCAUUUUCUGAAAUGAGCAGUAGUGUACACAGAGAAAUAAAAGAGGUUAUCCAGAGAAAUUGCAGGUGCUUCUCCAGCCUAACCUUAAUGACAGUUUAUUGCUGGUCCAUGGGGCCCAGUUUUGUUUAAGCAAUUAUCAGACUGCUUUAUUUAUGGCGCCCUUGUGCCUGUUUUUGGCAAUGGGGUCGCAAUAAAUUAUCAAAAUAACGUUAAUGUUACAAGAAUAGGCUACUUUAAAAAUAGGUGGCACCAAUUACAAUUGAAGGAGAAUAGUUAGAUGAAGAUUUAAAUUAUGCCAAUUGCUCCUGGGAAAUUGAUGGGAUGGAUCGAGAGGAUCUUCCCUGACUUCUAAUACAUGCAUGCGCAGGGUUAUUUCUCACAAUUAAAAUCAGAAAUGUUAAAGGGGAACUUACAAUGAAAGAGAAAGCCAAUUAAUCUAGUCAUCAUUAAUCACUGAGAAAGACACAGUAGUAUACUUAGUAAGUGUCCUAAAGCAGCAUCCAGAGAGAGGGAGAGAGACCAUCAAUCCCAAAAGACUCAAAAAAUCUUUAGGGAGAUGUAGAAUUAUGCCAAUAGUUUGCAUAUUAUAACGAUAAGACAAAGCUGGGAAGGCCUGUUCUGAUAUAACUUGCAUGCACAGUCACACACCUGGGACCACGUAGAAUUUACUACUAAAACGUGAAUGGCAAUUAAUGUACAAAAUAUGAAAAACAAAGUUCAAACAAUAUGUGUUUGCUGUCAAGAUUACUUCUAAGAAAAUUUGUAAGGCAAGUUUUGAGUUGUAAGAGGCUCUUAGAAAUAGAAACUGUGCUUUGUAAAUCAUACUGUAAGGCCAGAUUAAAGAAUUUCAUAGAGAGAUAUUCACACUUAAGACUAACAAAUGCUUCGAUUUUAGAAUAAUUCAUGAAUUUGCUAUUUUCUUCAUGAUGUCAGCUCAUGUUUGGUUAUUUGCUACUGAUCAUUUCAUCUUCCCUUGCUUACAAUUCCAGAAUCAUUUUAUUAAUUUAUUUAAUUAUUUAUUCAUUCAUUUAUUCUGCUUGGUCAAAGUUUCAGGUGUUAAAUGAUAUAGGCUUCAUCACAAUAGCAGAUUUCUUCCCACUUUUGUUUAUGUCUAUCUGAUUAUGGUAUCAGCAUUAUUUUUUCUUUCCAACUUUAGAGCUACAAUACUCAGGUAAAGUCGGUCCCUGGGAUUUAAAACUCAAAAUAAUUGAAUAAUAUGACACCACAGUGGUAGAAACAUGCUUCUAUUAAUAUGAAUAAAACAGAAUCACAGGGUAAAUGCACAUAUUAGACUUUUGUAUGUGGUUGAUUAUAAUGUAUAUAUAAUUGAGGAUUGACCAAAGCAUGGGUGCAAUUAGGCAUACAAGUUCUUCUUCAUAAUGGUAUUUUUAGUGCCAAAUAUAGGUCUCCAAAAGGUUCUUGGUGGGUAUACUUAUUGUGAGAUGGCAUGAUUUGUCUUUGAUGCACACUACCCCAUGUUAGAAUGAGCUGUUUCAUUUGGGGACACAACACAAGUAACAGCUCAUCUGCUCUCAUUUACAAGAGCUUCUAUGUAGUAAAAUUGAGAGUUGUGUUUUUUUCCAGCAAGUUCAAUUAUUUAGGGUAACCUCACUCCACAUGGAACUCUUCCCCCAGAUGUCCAUGUUGUCCAUAUUGACAACUCCUACCUUCCAAAAUGUUUGUUGACUUCUUACCUUCUGGUUGAGCCUGCAUUUGCCUCCUCUCCUUCCACCACACCUACCAUCUUAAUUUCUUUUUUCCUGCUCUACUUCUCUUAUUUUUCAUCACAUAUUUCUUUCAAAUCUGCAAUAUAACUUACCUAUCCAUUAUACUUAUGACUUAUUUGUUACUUUCUUCUUCAGGGUCAGAUUUUCUUCUGUUUAGUUUAUUCUUGAAUUCCAAAGUGUUUGAGAAAAGAACUGGACCAUAAUAGGUACUGUGAAAGCUGAUUAUUUGAAUUGGGGCAUUCUCGUCAUACCCAGUGAAAACAGAGUCAAGAGGGCAGGGGCAAAAAGCACUCAGGACACAAAACAUUGCUCUCCCAAAAUGUAAUUCACUGCAAGUCUGGCUGCUGAAAGUGCCUGCUGUAACCUCACAACUGUUUUAUCUAAUAGUUGCCAAACAAACCUGCUACAAAUCUAAGAUUUACUUUACCCACCAUCAGUCACCAGUCAGACGUUCCAGCUUCCCAGAACCUUACCAAUGCUAAUGAACUUUCUCAAAGAGCAAUAAUUAAUAUUUCUUUUUUUAGUAAAACCUCCAGCCUUCUCUUCGUUCUUCAGACAUGCUGAAGACCACUCGGUCUGAAUAUAUGCCCUGAUUUGCAAAUUAUUUAUUUCUUAAUUAAAUGUUAAAUUUAGAGAUUCCUCUUUACAUUUCUAUUUUGACUUCAACAGUCCUCAUUAAUAUUUCCUGAAUAAAUGAAUAAAAAUAUCAGAAUUAAUGUGCAUUUUGAAAAAUCUCUUAUGAAAUAUGAGAGAAAAAUCUGUUAUACGCUUAGAUCCUUAACUUGAUCGGUAUUCACCUUGAAAUAUGCUUUUAUCUUAUGUAGUCUGGUUUUAAAAUGUUAAGGAAAAAAAUACACUUAAAAAUGGACCUAGUCAUUUUUACUCAGCAGUACCAUAUCAUUUGAAAAACGAAAACACUCUAAGGCGGUUUUGUUCCUUUGUUUUUGUUUGGUCUGAUUUUCUUUCUUUUUUUUUUUUCCUUAUGUGUUCAGCCUCUUUAAUGUGAAUAACUGCUCUUAGUUAAACAGUCUCACAGCAUCCACUUACAGUCUCCAAGUUGCUUUCACAUUCUUUGUAAAAAUAAAAGCUCAGUUAAAGACACUACUUUCUUUUAUGGUGCAAUUUGUUUGCUCUUACACUGGUUCACUCUCUUUGCCAUUUGAUUUCCUCAGUUGAGCAAUUUAUGACAGAUUUUUAAGGUCUACUGUCCAUUACAAAGAGCAGGUUUUAAAAACUCCAUCAUCAUCAUAAGCUUAAUGAGUAAAUGGCUGGAAGCUCAGCAGCUUGGUGGGGGGAGUGUGUGGAGGUUUGACUCUGACAGCCAACUUGCUGUUGCUGUAAUUAAUAAUGAAAUGUUAAGUCUCUUGCUUUUUAUGUGGAGACAGGGAAAGUGACAGGGAUUAUGGAGAGAAAUAAAUUUACAUUGUAGCUUUAUAAAGCAUCCAUAGCUUUAGGAGCUCAAUAUAUACAAAAUUACUGUUAACAUGACAGUUCCCCAAGAAAGUAGUUACAAAAAUAUUUAAAGCUCUGGGCUGAAGAAUCAGGACAUUGUAAGAAUGGAGAGGAAGAAAAGACACUUUCUUGUAUCCUGUCCCUCCUUUCCUGCUGCUCAAUUUCUUUCUACUCAGCUGCUUAUAAAAAGAUGAAAGAUAUGCUAACUUGUCUCCCUGAGUGAAUCUAUUCAAUGUCACCACCCACGCACUUUCCAACAGUGACAAAAGUUCCUAUCACAUUCCUCUUCUCAACUCACCUGAUGGAUCCCCCAACUACACCCCACCCCCUAUCCUAGAAAAUAUUAUAUUAAGAAGUAGAAGAACUGUGGGAUUAUCUGAAUGAGACCUGCCAGUGAAGUCCAUAUCACUGACUAUUAAGUCAUGUUUACCACAAGCUAAUAGCCCAUAGCUCAAGCGGAACGCUCACCAUCUCUAGCCUUGUCCUUCUUCCAAAUCAGUGCAUGUAGGCAUGUGCUAUCUUUGCCUAUUAGAAGUGAUGGGUAGAACUCUUCAUCUACCAUUCGUGGAAUCUGAAGAUGGUACAAGGUCAUGAUGGUCACGCUAGCUUGGUAAACUGGUGGAAAAUUAAGUGCAGGCUCUCAUAAUGAAACAAAAUAUUAUCUGAACUGAAGCAUCUUGGAUACUGUUCUCUGUAAUUCUUCUCCCAUUUGCUUAUUUAUUCCUUCUUGUUUUCCCUGUGCAAACUGCAUCAUUGCUAAUAUGGCUACUUGAUCAGUGGUAGUUCCUCAUCUUCCACCAUUAUCCCAUUUCAGAUCUAUCUAAAAGCCUUACUUGUGGAUAAGAAUAACCAAAAAAAUCAAAUUAACUAGUUAGAUAAUGACUGUAUCUAUCUUUUAUGCUGAAUUAAAAUAACAUGAUUAAGUGAAGACUAGCAUACUUUAUUUUAACCGUUCACUUCAUCAUCGACAAGGGUAUAAGUUUAAUUAUGUAUAUGUACAUGUAAUUAUGUAUAGAUGUAUAGAAUACAAACAAAUUUAACCAUUUUACUUAUCCACAUGAAAUUGCUUCUUUUACAUGCAGGAUGACUUGUAAAUACAUUCAUAAUAGAGAAAUUGCAGUGGUUCUGACAAUCAGAUUUUUGAAUUAUUUUAUGUAGAACUUACUGGUAAAAAUUUUAUGAGGUAGUUAAAAACCAGAUUAAAAUCUGUAACUGAAAAAUUUGUCAUUUGGGUUGAAUUACAAAUAUAAGUCUAAGUUUUAUCUUCAGUGCCUCAGAAAGGCUGAAUUCAAUCCCUUUUAACUAGUUUCUAAAAUUUCAGAAGUGCUAAGUUUUCCCACAGAUUUCUGAACUGGAUUUAUGGCAAAGUACAACUUGAAAUAGAUGGAUGGAUAUGAGAAUUCACUAAUGAUCAUUCUCGACUAUCUGACUACAACAUAUUCUGAAAGACAAACUUGCCAAGUUAAAUGAUCAGAGGUAUGCUAUGAAAUUCUUUUGAAGACCCAGAUACCUUCUAGUUAUAAGGUACUAGUUAAAAUAAGCACCUCUAGAGAUAUUAAAUAACAAAAUCAAUUUUACUCAUUUCUUUUAGAAGAAAAAUUAAGAAUGUUUCAAUGAAUCUGAAAAACAAUUUUAUUUAUUAUCAAUCUUUAACUCUUUAUGUUAAAUUUCUGCUUAUGUGUCUGAGAUGAUCAUCAAAGUAUUCAAACAGAUAAAAUCAUUUCAGAGUUGUAUCAAUUUCUAAAAUGACAAAUUAUUUUCGGGAAAUAAUAUUUAGUUUUGGAGUGGAAUGUGUGAUAAUCAAAAACAAAACAUGUUUGAUCAAAACUGAAGCCUCUGUGCAAAACACGGAGCAUGGCAAUGUGAAGCAGUGGCUCCUUGGAAUUUGGUUCAGUUAGUGAUGGCUGGAAGGAAUCCUGGACCUGAGUUGCAUAGACAAGGUGGAUGAAAAUCAUAUGUAGCCUAAAACCCUGAGACUCCCUCACUCCUUCAAUGGUCUCUCUUUUUGAAAGUAUUUGGGGAAAAAUAAAUGUGCCUGGAUUAGGCCCUACCUUUUGGUUUUACUUGUAUUUGACUACAGGUAUGAACCCCACCUAGGGAUUUUCCUUUCCUGACCUGGCAAGGCCUGGAAAUUAACUAUUAGUUGUCUAAACAACUACUCCCCGUUUCCCCCUCCUGUUGUUCUUAAGGAGUUUGUUAUUUCUUCCUCUCCUAGUCAUGCACAAUGCCUCUUGCACAAGGCUGCUGUGUUCUCGGGGGAAAUAAAACAAUGCAUCCCAAAACUGCAACAUCUUGAAAUUGUGGAUGCGUAAUAUAACCGUGGCAAGUAUCUAAUGGAAAAAGACAAAUAAUGUAAACACAACAGCAAAGUCACUUCAUGGAUGUGCCCUAGUUCCUAGCAAGGGCCCCCUGUUUGCAGGUCUAUUCCAAACUCUCUGUGCUCUCAAUCACUUCAGAACAUUUUAUUUUUUUCCUCCAUCAGACUCCCCUCCUCAUUUCCUCCUCCUAACUAAACUGGUACAUCCCUCAAGCAGGUGCUUCCACUCAACAGUGGAAGGAGGUUGUAGCACUUUCAAUCAAGGCCUUCCAUCUAUAUAUCUAUGUUUAUCUAUACCUGUAUCUAUGAUCUAUCUAAUUAGAAAUAGAGACAGAGAGGGAGGUGAGGAGAUUGAAAUAGUAGUAUAAAAAAAGAAGUUCCCAAAGGCAAAAUAUCCUAUAAAGACUUUGCAGGCCCUCCAUGGAGAUACAUGUUUUAAAUUUUUAUAAGGAAGAACUUAAGUUUUCCUUUCCAUAAGUUUUUGCCUCCUAAUCGUGCCCACUGCUGUGUAAGAAAAAGGGGGCACAUUACAGUGCCUUUCAAAACAACCCAGCUCCCCUUGGCUAGUAGAUCUGAGGUUGCAGUAUUUCUUUACCUUGGGCCAGAUUAAAUACUUAGGCAAGACUCUCUACCAACCAAACAUUUCUGUAAAUUGAGAGGGAGCUAUAGAUGAAUGUAUCCUUCCUUAGGUCUGGAUAAUCUGAGAAUACUUCCUUCAGGUUCAUGUAGCAGAAAGAAUAAUACUUCCAUUCUACCUAAAGAGUUUCUUGCAACUGAGAUUUGCCUAUUGACAGUGGGUGCAAAGCUGAGAGAAAAGAGCCACAUUCAGGAUGUGGCUAUCUCUCAACAAGGAACAAGGUGACCUAGAAUAGUAGGAGUGGAGCCAUUUAAUCACUCAGGAAAUAAAUUUUGCCAUUCCAGUUCUAAAACUCUAAGAGCAUUUUUCGACAGGCAUGUGGGAAGUAGAAUACUGAUACCAAUAGCUAAAAUCAAUCUAUCUUAUCCCAGCAACUAUGGAGCCAAGUUGGGUUAGGACUAUGGUCAGAGAUAAACAAUUAAGUCUGCAGAGCCUAACUAGGUAACUAAUUGGUGAAGAUGCAUUUUGUAAGCUGUGACAGUUGUGUCUAAAUCAUUGAAAAAGUAUGUUUCAUCUACAAUUGGUAGCCAAUGCCGAAUUCCAGAUGUUUGAUUUCCUAGUUUUCUUAGAGAUAGUGAUUUUUAAAAUGUUUAUGUAGAAGCUGACAGUUAGACAUAUCUAUACAUAGAGUCGUACCUGAAUGUUCAUAGCAGCUUUAAUAUUAGCCCCAACCUGGAAAAACCCCAAAUUUCCCUCAAAAUUAUAAUGGAUAAAAUGGAUAAAUUCAAUGAACAUUAUUCCUAAAAUGAAAUACACUAAGCAAUAAUAAGGAGCUGACCACUGAUGUACUCAAUAAGAACAAAUUUCAAAAAACAAGAUGCUGAGAUAAAGAAGACAGAAACAAAAUAAUGCACAUGUAUGAUGUCACUUAUACAAAAUUUAGAAAAGAUAUAUCCUGUACAUAAUGACAGAACCUCCAUCAGUGGUUGCCUGUGAUCAGGGAUUGAGAUGGUGAGGGCAUGUGAGAAGUUUUCAUAUAUGAUGGAAAUGUGCAGGGGAUAUACAAUUGUCAAUAUGCAUCAAACUGUCUAAUUUAAUAUAUGUUUUAUUGUAUAUGAUAAAUUGAUUUUCUAAAAAUCAUAUACACUAACUCAAACUUCUUAUAGCUGAACACAUUUUAUAUUAGGUGUUUAUCUUAUAUUUACAGAUGAUGUCUAGUAAGCCUCAGAGAUGUCCAGUGGGAUCUGGGAUUUGAACCCAUGUCUAUUUCAAUUUGUCCUCUCAUUCCCUUUUUACACUCAGCUUUUCUUUUAACAUGCUCACAUUUUCCCUACGACUACAAAAUGAAAAUAAACAGAACCUUUAUUUUUAAGCUCUUAUCCUACUUUGCUUCUUCUGUGCAAAUGUUUUAAAAUAAUAGUUGACAUUUAUUCCUUCUACUUCCAUACCUCAUCCAUCUCUUGCAUUCUAAUGUCCAUCGCCCGCUUACUGAAAUAGAGAAAAAAGUCACGAUCAUCCAGCACUGCCAGUGAUUCUCAACUUUUUAAGUAAUUGACUUUGUGUGUUUCUUCAGAACACUUUCUCCUCUUAAGAUUUCUGGUUCCCUUUUAUGUCUCCCACUGCCUUUCCAUCAUCUUUUUGUUUGACUCUUUAAACUCCUCCCUUUUUCCUUUUUUCCCAUGGUCUCUUCAAAUAUAUCUAAACUAAUGCGUUCUGCAUACUUAUUUUGAGUCUUUUUGUGAGGUCUAGUCCAACUGGCAAAAUAUGGUAUCUCAAUUUCCUACCAUAAACUCAUCAUAUCUCAAAUUUAAAUUUCUCAUCUUUCUUCAUGCAAAACACCUUGAACCUCAAUUUAAACUUCAUCAUAUUCUUCAAUUUCUUCUCCCUUUGUUUUAUUACACAGCUUAUUUUGGCAAAAUCCUAGGGUAUUUUAAUGUGUUUUUCAUGUGCAUCACCUCUCCAUAUAUUUACAAUUGUUCUGGCAAAAGUUUAUAUUGAUAAUUAGUCUUAGUGAUUAUAAUUAUGCCCUACUUUUGCUUUCUGUAAUUCAUCCUACACACUGUUGCUAAGUAAUAAUACCACUAAAUCACAGCUCAGAAUAUAUAUUUUAUUGCCUGCUGGUUUUCUAUAUCUAUGAGAACACUUAUUUCGAAUGAAA